GAUGGGGACAGUGAGUGCGUGCAAAAUAUCUACACAUCACAGUGAAUUGGACACACAGGCACACGUCAAACAGGUGAAUGCAACUCUGUGUGUUCUUGUUCUUUGAUGUCUACAUUCAAGGAUGCUCUGCAGUGUUUGCUGGCCAGUUGUUUUGGGCCACCGUUGCAAAUCUGGUUGUCUUUCACUCGUGAGUUCUUACUUGCUGAAGCAGUCCCUGCUGUCCCGUGUGGAGCCCAUGUCCCAUCCAUAGGGCGCUCCCUGCAGCCCGGCCCAGCUGCCCGUGGGAGGAGGCCAGCCUGCUGAUUUGUUCUUGUGGCUGGAAUGGAAAACAAGCAGAGAAGCAGAUGAUGAUAGUUUUCAUGUUAUGAGGGCGUUUGUAGAAGGCCACUAUCUGCAGAUCUAAGAAUACGUGCUGGAGCAUAAACAGACAGACACUCUGAUGUAAGCAGGUGCUUUAACGCCAUUUAGAACCUUAAAAGCCAGUAGCAGAACUUUAAAGUCUAUCCUGGAUGAUUUGUUGGCCAGUGCAGUUCUUUUAAAACAGCACUGAUGUGCUGAGCUACUGUAUUUUGUAUGAGUUGUAAGGGAUGUACUGUUUUCAUAGGAAGUCCAGUAAGAAGAGUAUUACAGUAAUCAAGUCUGCUUGUAACAAAUGCACAAACAAGUUUCUCUGUAUCACUGUAGAAAAACUCCAACUUUAGCGAUAUUUCUCAAAUGAUAUAAAGAUCUUUCAGUGGUUGUGUUGACAUGUGGGAUAAAACAGUUCAGAUCACACCCAGAUUUCCUAAUUCUGAUUCUGAUUUGGUAUAUGAUGCUAAGGCUGAGCUUCUCAUUAAACAUUUUAGUUUUAGUCCCAAAUAUUAGUAUUUAUUUUUCUUGAUUUAGUUGUAGGAAAUUCUAUGAAUUCUAUAAAUAUUUGAAACACAGCUGGUAAGCCUGUCAACAGAAUCUUGAUUAUUAGAAGAAAUGUAAAUGUAUAAUUGCAUGUCAUCAGCACAAUUAUUAAAACUGACAUCAUGUUUCCUAGUAACAUUACAACAUUCUGGAGGUAAUGUCUAAAAAGACAAAAGCAAAGACUCUAAAUCUGAACCUUGUGGAACUCCACAAGAAAUGUUAAAUGUCAGCAUUUUCCAGUAAAAUAUUUCAAGAAAAAUUUACUGCGAUUUACUUCAUGAUAUGCUGUCAGGUGAAAGACUGUAUUAUUAUUUUUACAAUUGUGGUUUUACUGUUUGUGGUAGACAAGUUAGUCAGCUUGCUAAUGAUGAUGUUACCCAUUUGUCAUCCUACCGUCAAUAACCAUAGCAUUUUUUUUGCUACAGAUCAGUGUGUAGAAGUAUACUUUCAAUAGUAAAUAAUUAUUAUUUUUUUUAUGCCUAUGGUUAGAAGGUUGGCUUGCGAACAUUUUCUAUUUUCUUUGCCAAUCUUCCAGUCCAGCUUUGGUCAUGCCCAUUAUGCAAGGCAGUGAAACUUUUAGUAUGACUUUGGCUUAAUUGGAAACAACUGCAUAUGAAUUCUAAACUUUCGAUCUGUACCACAUUUGUGUUAAAAUGUACGAAAUGACUUGAACUAGACGGAAGAUGGAACUUGUUUGCUAAUAGAAACACUAUCCUUUCCAUUUUCACUACCUUUUUGCAACUUCUUUGCAUUAUAACAAAUUGUAAGAAGUUGGGUGCCUGUAGAAACAUAAUUUAAAUCAAAUUCAAAUUUGGGGCAGUGGGAGCUAAUUCAUUACGUAAUUGUAAUUAAGUUGGUUUAAAAGAGUGUUCUUCAUUUUCUUAUCAUUAUUCCACAUUUCAAAACAUCACAUGUAGUGUAAAUUACCUUGCUACAGUUUUCGAUUUAGAACUACAACAUUUUGAAUGAAUGUAAAACCUAUACCCAAAUUGGUUGCUUGUGCUUUUUAAACUGAUUAGAUGUUUAAUUUUGUACAGGAUUUGUUCAAAGAUAAUGUUCACAAAUUUCAAAUCUGAAACAAAUGAUAUCACAAUGAACAUCUGUUAGACUGUCCUUCAUAGACAUUACACACAAAUUCACUGAUCUUCUAGCACA